GUGAGGAAUCUUCCACAAUGGACGAAAGUCUGAUGGAGCAACGCCGCGUGCAGGAUGAAGGCCUUCGGGUUGUAAACUGCUUUUAUGAGUGAAGAAUAUGACGGUAACUCAUGAAUAAGCACCGGCUAACUACGUGCCAGCAGCCGCGGUCAUACGUAGGGUGCAAGCAUUAUCCGGAGUGACUGGGCGUAAAGAGUUGCGUAGGUGGUCAGUAAAGUGAAUAGUGAAAUCUGGUGGCUCAACCAUACAGGCUAUUAUUCAAACUCACUGACUCGAGAAUGGUAGAGGUAACUGGAAUUUCUAGUGUAGGAGUGAAAUCCGUAGAUAUUAGAAGGAACACCAAUGGCGUAGGCAGGUUACUGGACCAUUUCUGACACUGAGGCACGAAAGCGUGGGGAGCGAACCGGAUUAGAAACCCGAGUAGUCC
rnacentral:rRNA from 1 species